UAAUUGAAGAGUUUGAUCAUGGCUCAGAUUGAACGCUGGCGGCAGGCCUAACACAUGCAAGUCGAGCGGAAACAGGAAGGUGCUUGCACCUUUGCUGUCGAGCGGCGGACGGGUGAGUAAUGCCUAGGGAACUGCCCAGUCGAGGGGGAUAACAGUUGGAAACGACUGCUAAUACCGCAUACGCCCUACGGGGGAAAGGAGGGGACGCGUUUUUCGAAGUGCGCCUUUCGCGAUUGGAUGUACCUAGGUGGGAUUAGCUAGUUGGUAAGGUAAUGGCUUACCAAGGCGACGAUCCCUAGCUGGUCUGAGAGGAUGAUCAGCCACACUGGAACUGAGACACGGUCCAGACUCCUACGGGAGGCAGCAGUGGGGAAUAUUGCACAAUGGGCGCAAGCCUGAUGCAGCCAUGCCGCGUGUGUGAAGAAGGCCUUCGGGUUGUAAAGCACUUUCAGCGAGGAGGAAAGGUUGUAGUUUAAUAAACUACAGCUAUGACGUUACUCGCAGAAGAAGCACCGGCUAACUUCGUGCCAGCAGCCGCGGUAAUACGAGGGGUGCAAGCGUUAAUCGGAAUUACUGGGCGUAAAGCGUACGCAGGCGGUUUGUUAAGCAAGAUGUG
rnacentral:ncRNA from 1 species